UGAUCCCUCUGGUUUGUGGCUAUUAGAC
rnacentral:piRNA from 1 species